CACGCCGUAAACGAUGAGUGCUAGGUGUCGGGAGUUAAACUUUCGGUGCCGCAGUUAACACAUUAAGCACUCCGCCUGGGGAGUACGUGCGCAAGCAUGAAACUCAAAGGAAUUGACGGGGACCCGCACAAGCAGCGGAGCAUGUGGUUUAAUUCGAUGCAACGCGAAGAACCUUACCAGGGCUUGACAUCCCUCUGCCCGCUCUAGAGAUAGAGCCUUCCCUUCGGGGACAGAGGUGACAGGUGG
rnacentral:rRNA from 1 species